rfam:Megasphaera sp. BV3C16-1 contig00022, whole genome shotgun sequence.
UGUACCUUUAAUGUAGUCCAGUGAGGCUAAAAAGGGACAUAUUUUGUCGUGUCUGUUAAUAUGACCUUUGCCCAGGGCGAAGGUCUUUUUUUGU